rnacentral:lncRNA from 1 species
GUGAAAUGUUAUAGCCACUGGAGUUUUCUGCCUGGCUGAUCCUGCAUUAAUUUGCAAUGAGCAUUAGUCUUGUGAUUUAUGGACUGCCAGGUUCCCUGAGUAGAAUAACUUCCUUGAAGAAAGCUUCUCACCCACAGGACGGCUCAGACAGAGAGUUUCACUUGUCUCUGCCAGCAUGGGAUCUUGAAAGAAGAAAAGGGCAGGCAGGACAUGGCAGGUGAAACAACAAUUUUGGCACUACAGACAGCAUUUGCUUUGGGUGAAAAUCUAGCAUGGGCUCAUCCUUCUCUCUUGUUACUUCCAGGUGUCUCCUUUGGACACAUGGGAUCUGUCCAGCCCGAAGGGAAACUACAGCCUGAAGAGCUCCUCUCCAGUUUUCUAGUUCAGCACUGUGGUCUCUGGCCUCAGACAUCUCUGCAGCACUGAAAGCCCUGUAGAACACUUGAGAGUUUUGCCAGCACCUACAUAGGAGUGCUGCCUGUAUGGGGUUUGUGUGGAUUGCUGCCCAGCAGUUAAUGCACAGGCAUGCAGAAAACUCAAGAAAAGGCUAUUGAGAAAAGCCAGUGGGCUGCAGUAAGAAAGAUUCAAAUCUGCAUGGCAAUGCCUUGGAAUAAUGUUUGCAUGCCAGCGAAGACAACACCUUCAC